rnacentral:sRNA from 1 species
AUAUCUCUCCGUACGGGAAGGAUGAGAAGCUUCGACCAAGGUUCGAUUCGAGCGCAGCGAGAAAGCGUUGCCGCAGGCAACGACCCGAAG